UAUAAUUUUUGUUUAAGAAAUGACUGUAAUAUUUUUCUGUCUAUGAAGAAAUACCAUUAAAAAUUUGGUGCACACUGAAUAACGCGCGUAGCGGGUUAUCUAACAGUGUGAACCACAUUUUUUAUGUUAUUUCGAAUAGACAGAAAAAAUAUUACAGUCAUUUCUUAUAAUUUAAUUCUAAAUUCUAUUUUAAACCGUAGAAAACCAUGAAAAAAACGUUGAUGAGGUCACGGUCACAUGACUAAAUUAUGUCUAUGGGCUCAUAACAAAAUAACGUCAGCCAAUCAGAAGACGC
rnacentral:lncRNA from 1 species